CCCUUAGAUGUUCUGGGCCGCACGCGCGCUACACUGAUGCAUUCAACGAGUUUUACCUUGGCCGAGAGGCCUGGGCAAUCUUUUAAACCUGCAUCGUGAUGGGGCUAGAUUAUUGCAAUUAUUAAUCUUCAACGAGGGAUGCCUAGUAAGCGUGAUUCAUCAAAUCGCGUUGAUUACGUCCCUGCCCUUUGUACACACCGCCCGUCGCUCCUACCGAUUGAAUGUGUUGGUGAGGAGCUCGGAUUGGCAGCAGUUGGUGGUUCGCCACCGGCUAUUGCUGAGAAGUCCUCCAAACCGCCCCAUUUAGAGGAAGGAGAAGUCGUAACA
rnacentral:rRNA from 1 species